GCGACGUGCCUAAGGUAUGCAAGUCGAAUGCCGAUUUAUCGGCAUGGCAGACGGCUGAGUAAUACAUGGGAAUCUACCUCAAACUCGAGAAUAGCCCAUCGAAAGGUGGUGUAAUACUCGAUAGUUCCGUUUACGGUAAAGCUCCGGCGGUUUGAGAUGAGCCCAUGUCCUAUCAGGUUGUUGGUGGGGUAAUUGCCUACCAAGCCUAUGACGGGUAGCUGGUUUGAGAGGAUGAUCAGCCAGACUGGGACUGCGAUACGGCCCAGACUCCUACGGGAGGCAGCAACUAGGAAUCAUGCGCAAUGGACGAAAGUCUGACGCUGCGACGUCGCGUGAGGGAUGAAGGUCUUCGGAUCGUAAACCUCUUUUAUCUGGGAACAAGUUCUGAGUGUACCAGAUGAAUAAGUGCCUGCCAACCACGUGCCAGAAGCAUCGGUAAUGCGUGGGGCACGAGCGUUAUCCGGAUUUACUGGGCGUAAAGAGAUGCGUAGGCGCCUUUUUAAGUCACUUGUAAAAUCUCCCCGCUCAACGGGGAAACUGCAAGUGAUACUGAAUUGGUUGAGUCAAGUAGAGGAGAGGGGAAUUCCUGGUGGAGCGGUUAAAUGCGUUGAUAUCAGGAGGAAUACCAAGUGCGAAGGCACCUCUCUGGACUUGUACUGACGCUAAGGCUCGAAAGUGUGGGGAGCAAAACGGAUUAGAUACCCGUGUAGUCCACACUGUAAACGAUCCCUGCUAGAUGUUUG
rnacentral:rRNA from 1 species